rnacentral:rRNA from 1 species
GAUGAACGCUGGCGGCGUGCCUAAUACAUGCAAGUCGAGCGAACGGACGAGAAGCUUGCUUCUCUGAUGUUAGCGGCGGACGGGUGAGUAACACGUGGAUAACCUACCUAUAAGACUGGGAUAACUUCGGGAAACCGGAGCUAAUACCGGAUAAUAUUUUGAACCGCAUGGUUCAAAAGUGAAAGACGGUCUUGCUGUCACUUAUAGAUGGAUCCGCGCUGCAUUAGCUAGUUGGUAAGGUAACGGCUUACCAAGGCAACGAUGCAUAGCCGACCUGAGAGGGUGAUCGGCCACACUGGAACUGAGACACGGUCCAGACUCCUACGGGAGGCAGCAGUAGGGAAUCUUCCGCAAUGGGCGAAAGCCUGACGGAGCAACGCCGCGUGAGUGAUGAAGGUCUUCGGAUCGUAAAACUCUGUUAUUAGGGAAGAACAUAUGUGUAAGUAACUGUGCACAUCUUGACGGUACCUAAUCAGAAAGCCACGGCUAACUACGUGCCAGCAGCCGCGGUAAUACGUAGGUGGCAAGCGUUAUCCGGGAUUAUUGGGCGUAAAGCGCGCGUAGGCGGUUUUUUAAGUCUGAUGUGAAAGCCCACGGCUCAACCGUGGAGGGUCAUUGGAAACUGGAAAACUUGAGUGCAGAAGAGGAAAGUGGAAUUCCAUGUGUAGCGGUGAAAUGCGCAGAGAUAUGGAGGAACACCAGUGGCGAAGGCGACUUUCUGGUCUGUAACUGACGCUGAUGUGCGAAAGCGUGGGGAUCAAACAGGAUUAGAUACCCUGGUAGUCCACGCCGUAAACGAUGAGUGCUAAGUGUUAGGGGGUUUCCGCCCCUUAGUGCUGCAGCUAACGCAUUAAGCACUCCGCCUGGGGAGUACGACCGCAAGGUUGAAACUCAAAGGAAUUGACGGGGACCCGCACAAGCGGUGGAGCAUGUGGUUUAAUUCGAAGCAACGCGAAGAACCUUACCAAAUCUUGACAUCCUUUGACAACUCUAGAGAUAGAGCUUUCCCCUUCGGGGGACAAAGUGACAGGUGGUGCAUGGUUGUCGUCAGCUCGUGUCGUGAGAUGUUGGGUUAAGUCCCGCAACGAGCGCAACCCUUAAGCUUAGUUGCCAUCAUUAAGUUGGGCACUCUAAGUUGACUGCCGGUGACAAACCGGAGGAAGGUGGGGAUGACGUCAAAUCAUCAUGCCCCUUAUGAUUUGGGCUACACACGUGCUACAAUGGACAAUACAAAGGGCAGCGAAACCGUGAGGUCAAGCAAAUCCCAUAAAGUUGUUCUCAGUUCGGAUUGUAGUCUGCAACUCGACUACAUGAAGCUGGAAUCGCUAGUAAUCGUAGAUCAGCAUGCUACGGUGAAUACGUUCCCGGGUCU